rnacentral:misc_RNA from 1 species
GAAAUGCGAUAAUUAAUGUGAAUUGCAGAAUUCAGUGAAUCAUCGAGUCUUUGAACGCACAUUGCGCCCCCUGGUAUUCCGGGGGGCAUGCCUGUCCGAGCGUCAUUGCUGCCCUCAAGCACGGCUUGUGUGUUGGGCUUCCGUCCCUGGCAACGGGGACGGGCCCAAAAGGCAGUGGCGGCACCAUGUCUGGUCCUCGAGCUUAUGGGGCUUUGUCACCCGCUCCCGUAGGUCCAGCUGGCAGCUAGCCUCGCAACCAAUCUUUUUCACCAGGUUGACCUCGGAUCAGGUAGGGAUACCCGCUGAACUUGAGC